rnacentral:rRNA from 1 species
UGGGGAAUAUUGGACAAUGGGCGAAAGCCUGAUCCAGCCAUGCCGCGUGUGUGAAGAAGGCCUUCGGGUUGUAAAGCACUUUAAGUUGGGAGGAAGGGCAUUAACCUAAUACGUUAGUGUUUUGACGUUACCGACAGAAUAAGCACCGGCUAACUCUGUGCCAGCAGCCGCGGUAAUACAGAGGGUGCAAGCGUUAAUCGGAAUUACUGGGCGUAAAGCGCGCGUAGGUGGUUUGUUAAGUUGGAUGUGAAAUCCCCGGGCUCAACCUGGGAACUGCAUUCAAAACUGGCUGACUAGAGUAUGGUAGAGGGUGGUAGAAUUUCAUGUGUAGCGGUGAAAUGCGUAGAUAUAGGAAGGAACACCAGUGGCGAAGGCGACCACCUGGACUAAUACUGACACUGAGGUGCGAAAGCGUGGGGAGCAAACA